GAUGAACGCUGGCGGCGUGCCUAAUACAUGCAAGUCGAGCGAACGGACGAGAAGCUUGCUUCUCUGAUGUUAGCGGCGGACGGGUGAGUAACACGUGGAUAACCUACCUAUAAGACUGGGAUAACUUCGGGAAACCGGAGCUAAUACCGGAUAAUAUUUUGAACCGCAUGGUUCAAAAGUGAAAGACGGUCUUGCUGUCACUUAUAGAUGGAUCCGCGCUGCAUUAGCUAGUUGGUAAGGUAACGGCUUACCAAGGCAACGAUGCAUAGCCGACCUGAGAGGGUGAUCGGCCACAUUGGAACUGAGACACGGUCCAGACUCCUACGGGAGGCAGCAGUAGGGAAUCUUCCGCAAUGGGCGAAAGCCUGACGGAGCAACGCCGCGUGAGUGAUGAAGGUCUUCGGAUCGUAAAACUCUGUUAUUAGGGAAGAACAUAUGUGUAAGUAACUGUGCACAUCUUGACGGUACCUAAUCAGAAAGCCACGGCUAACUACGUGCCAGCAGCCGCGGUAAUACGUAGGUGGCAAGCGUUAUCCGGAAUUAUUGGGCGUAAAGCGCGCGUAGGCGGUUUUUUAAGUCUGAUGUGAAAGCCCACGGCUCAACCGUGGAGGGUCAUUGGAAACUGGAAAACUUGAGUGCAGAAGAGGAAAGUGGAAUUCCAUGUGUAGCGGUGAAAUGCGCAGAGAUAUGGAGGAACACCAGUGGCGAAGGCGACUUUCUGGUCUGUAACUGACGCUGAUGUGCGAAAGCGUGGGGAUCAAACAGGAUUAGAUACCCUGGUAGUCCACGCCGUAAACGAUGAGUGCUAAGUGUUAGGGGGUUUCCGCCCCUUAGUGCUGCAGCUAACGCAUUAAGCACUCCGCCUGGGGAGUACGACCGCAAGGUUGAAACUCAAAGGAAUUGACGGGGACCCGCACAAGCGGUGGAGCAUGUGGUUUAAUUCGAAGCAACGCGAAGAACCUUACCAAAUCUUGACAUCCUUUGACAACUCUAGAGAUAGAGCCUUCCCCUUCGGGGGACAAAGUGACAGGUGGUGCAUGGUUGUCGUCAGCUCGUGUCGUGAGAUGUUGGGUUAAGUCCCGCAACGAGCGCAACCCUUAAGCUUAGUUGCCAUCAUUAAGUUGGGCACUCUAAGUUGACUGCCGGUGACAAGCCGGAGGAAGGUGGGGAUGACGUCAAAUCAUCAUGCCCCUUAUGAUUUGGGCUACACACGUGCUACAAUGGACAAUACAAAGGGCAGCGAAACCGCGAGGUCAAGCAAAUCCCAUAAAGUUGUUCUCAGUUCGGAUUGUAGUCUGCAACUCGACUACAUGAAGCUGGAAUCGCUAGUAAUCGUAGAUCAGCAUGCUACGGUGAAUACGUUCCCGGGUCU
rnacentral:rRNA from 1 species